rnacentral:rRNA from 1 species
CCUACGGGUGGCAGCAGUGGGGAAUAUUGGACAAUGGGCGAAAGCCUGAUCCAGCCAUGCCGCGUGUGUGAAGAAGGCCUUCGGGUUGUAAAGCACUUUCAGUGGGGAAGAAAGCCUUGGGGCUAAUACCCUCGAGGAAGGACAUCACCCACAGAAGAAGCACCGGCUAACUCCGUGCCAGCAGCCGCGGUAAUACGGAGGGUGCGAGCGUUAAUCGGAAUUACUGGGCGUAAAGCACGCGUAGGCGGUCUGAUAAGCCGGUUGUGAAAGCCCCGGGCUCAACCUGGGAACGGCAUCCGGAACUGUCAGGCUAGAGUGCAGGAGAGGAAGGUAGAAUUCCCGGUGUAGCGGUGAAAUGUGUAGAGAUCGGGAGGAAUACCAGUGGCGAAGGCGGCCUUCUGGACUGACACUGACGCUGAGGUGCGAAAGCGUGGGUAGCAAACAGGAUUAGAUACCCUAGUAGUC